UUGGAGGUUGCAGUGAGCCGAGAUCACACCACUGCACUCCAGCCUGGGCAACAGAGCAAGACUCCGUCUCAAAAAAAAAAAUUCCUUUCUGGAUAAAAAUAACAGUUCAGAGUCUCAAAUUAUCUCUAUCAUUUUCCACACACAGUGCUUGGCAGUCAAUAAAUGGGCUCUGGAGUAAGAAAAAGACAAGACAGGGGUGAAAACCUGGGAGAAAAAUCAGACAAUCAGACAAUAGAAACAGACCCACGAGGAUCCUGAUCAUGGAAUUAUCCAUGAUGAAUGCGAUCAAGGAUGAAAAGGCAAGAUUAAGAAUUUUUGGCAGAGAACUGGAAAGUAUAAAAAAAGAACCAAGUGGAAAUUCUGUGAAAAGUGAAAAGUACAGAAACUGAAAAUACCGCUGGUGGGUCUGAUAGCAGGAAAUGUACAAAUGAAAGGCAUAGAAGAAAAUAGUCUGGACAGAAGCACAGAGAGACAAGAGGGGGGAAUCGCAGGGUAGAGUUUAAAGAAAAUAUGGGAUAGAAUGAAAAGAGCAAACAUACCUAUAAUUGGGGUCACAAAACAGGAGGAGAAAAAAUGUGGCAGAAGCAAUAUUUAAAAACUGAGAGUUCACCAACACUGACAAAAGGCAUUCAGGUGUAGAUAUAAUCAUCCUUACAAACUCCGCCAGGGAACCUCCUGAGAAAAGAAGCCCCUGCCGUUACUGAGGUGAUGGUUAUGAUCCAUUAUAUUCUCCCUCCCCACACCUGCGCCCUGUGCUUUUGUUGCCCUUAGUACACUUUGCCCUUUUUUUUCUUUUUUUUUUGAUGGAGACUCACUCUGUUGCCCAGGCUGGAGUGCAGGAGCGAUCUCGGCUCACUGCAACCUCUGCCUCCCGGGUUCAAGCAAUUCCCCUGCUUCAGCCUCCCAAGUAGCUGGGACUACAGGCACACGCCGCCACGCCUGGCUAAUUUUUUGUAUUUUAGUAGAGAUAGGGUUUCACCAUGUUGGCCAGGAUGGUCUCGAUUUCCUGACCUUGUGAUCUGCCCGCCUCAGCCUCCCAAAGUGCUGGGAUUAUGGGCGUGAGACACCACGCUUGGCCACUUUGUCCUCAUAUUUAUUUAUUUUUUGUACUUCUUAAAAAUUUUUUUAAUUAAAAAAAAAAUAGAGACAGGGUCUUUCUAUGUUGCCCAGACUAGUUUUGAACUCCUGGGCUCAAGUGAUCCUCCUGCCUUGGCAUCCCAAAGUGCUGGGACUACAGACAUGAGCCUGUCCUCAUAUUUACUGAUGAGUGUAUUAGUGCUAUAAUGAUAUGUAGCAAAUAACUCCAAAACAUAUUGGCUUAAAACCACAUAAUUACUUAUCAUGUGCCAUGGUGUCCUUGGUUUAGGUGUCAGGAGAGGUUUAGCUGGGUGGUUCUGGCCUCUCAGGAGGCUGCAGCUGGGCCAGCUGUCAACCAGGGAGGCGGUUCACUGAAGGCUGAGCUGGGCCUUGUAGGUCCUCUUCCAAGGUGGCAAGUUGGUGCUGGCGAUCGACAGGAGGCCUCAGUUUCCCUUCGCAAGGGUCUUGCCAUGGGGCUGCUUGCAUGUCUUCGUGGUGUGGCAGCCAGCUUCCUCCAGAACGAGUGAGCCUGGAGUCAGAGGCAGAGGCCAGGAUGCCUUUGUGACCUUGAUGUGAAGGUCACACACUAGCAUGUCUACCGAGUUGUGUUGGUCACAUAGGUCAGUCUUUUUUUUGAGACGGUCUUGCUUGAUUGCCCAGGCUAGAGUGCAGCUAGAUCAGCUAGGGGCUUGAUCAUGGCUCACUGCAGCCUUGACCUCUCAGGCUCAAGGGAUCCUCCCGUCUCAGUCUUCCAAGUAACUGGGACCACAGGCAUGCGCCACCAUGCUUGGCUACUUAAUUUUUUUUUUUUUUUUUAGAGAUAGGGUCUUGCUCUAUGGCCCAGGCUGGCUUUGAAUUUAUUUUUAUAUUAUUGUGGUAAAAUAUAUAUCACAAACCAUGCCAUGCUAAUCCUUUUCAGAUGUGCAAUUCAGUGGUGUGAAUUAUAUUCACAAUGUACAACCAUCACUACAUCUACUUCCAAAACCUUCCCACCACUCCAUGUAGAAACUCUGUAUCCAUUAAUCAAUAACUCCCAUUCCCCCAUCUCUCCCCAUCCCUGGUAGCCCCUAAUCUGCUUUCUGUCUCUGUGAAUUCUGCCUAUUCUAGGAACCUCAUUUAAGUAGAAUCCUGUGGUUUUUGUCCUUUAGUGCCUGUGUUAUUUCACUCAACAUAAUGUUUCCGAAGUUCCUCCAUGUUGUAACAUGUGUCAGCAUUUUGUUCCUUUUCAUAGCUGAGUGCUAUUCCAUUGUAUGGACAUACCACAUCUCCUCCAUCCAUUCAUCGGUUGAUAGGCCAGCCCCACAUCAACAAGAGAUGCAACUCCAUGGGGUUGUGAACAUCACCAGGAUGUGGGGCUCACUGGGGGCCAUCCUAGGGGACGGCUGCCCUAGUAGAUUUUGUGUUCAAAGCCAAGUCUCCACUAGAAUUUCACCUUCACGGGGUCAAGAACCCAGUCUGCAUUUUUACCCCAGUUCGCAGCAGAGGGCCUGACAUGAAGCAGAUGUGCAGUUGAGGAGGCAGCCCACUCACUGGGGAGCUGCAGAGGGAGACGGUGCUGGUUGCUGGGGUCCAGGAAGCUUCUGGAAUGAAGGAACAACAGAACUAGAAGCCAAAUAUGGUCUCUGGAGGACUCUCAUGGAAGACGCUGAGUAAACCAGAAACAAGUUUGGGCUCAAGUUUCUUGUCUGUAAGACAGGUCUGGGAAGAGCAGUGUGUGUGUGUUUGUGUGUGUGUUUCUGUGUAUGUGCAUGGAGAGGACAGGUGUGUGUCUUUCUGUUUGUCCAGUGGGGCAAGGGUUGGGGGGGUGUCUAGUCAGGAGGGGAGCUGGAGAGGCACUCACAACAGAAGGAAACUCUUGGAGGAGGAGUGAUGGAUAGUCGACCCCUCUCCUCUCCUCUCUCACCUCCUUUUUGCUGAGCUGGUGAAAGCUACAGGUGAGGAGGGUUUAAGGGAAUUUGAGCACAGGCCUCAGCUUGGCCCAGUUUGACUUGGAAAGAGGAUGUGGAAUCACCCAUCAGUAGGUCAGCCAGCAGGGAUUGCCUCCCUGUUGCCCCCAUGGUCCUAUUUCAACAGCAGUCUGGAAUGGCCCCUGAAUCUAUAGAGUGUGGCGCUGCUGCCAGAGACCUCCCCUGGAGAGCAGGAAGAUGUAAUGGUUCCAUCUUUCACCGUCCGCCAUGUUUCAGGAUGACAGACAUAUCUGGCUCUUAUAGGAGUGAUUCUAAUUUGGUGAAAAUCAUCUGGAUUCUUCAAACACAGCUUGGCACCGUGGAAGGAGGAAAAGCUGUGAGGUUGGACAGGCCUGACUCAAGCCCUGGAUCAGUCACUCAUUAGUGCCCAUUAGCAUGACUCUUAGUAGGUCACUUACCCUCUGUAAGCCUCAUUCUUUUCAUCUGUCAAGUGAGGAUAAUGGUUCUUAUUGGUAGGAUUGUUGAGGGCACCAGAUGAUGAGCACUAACUGCUUGUAGAGUCAACAGUCAAUGAAUGGUCACUGGUUAUGGUAGAAAAAUGCUGAGUGGCCGGGCAUGGUGGCUCAUACCUGUAAUCCCAGAACUUUGGGAGGUUAAAGCGGGUGGAUUGUUUGAGCCCAGGAGUUUGAGACCAGCCUGGGCAACAUGGCAAAACCCUGUCUCUACAAAAAAUAGAAAAAAUAGCUGGGCAUGGUGGUACUUGCCAGUAGUCCCAGCUGCUUGGGAGCUGAGGUGGGAGGAUCACCUGAGCCUGAGGAGAUUGAGGCUGCGGUGAGCCGUGAUGGUGCCACUGCACUCCAGUGUACAGAGAGAGACCCUGUCUCAGAAAAAAAAAAGACAAUGCCGAGGGACCUGCUUAAGACACACCUGCUCUGCUGGGUCAGUCUCACCUGACCUGUGGGCAGAAGGCAGAGAAUGAGGUUUCUUCUGCUUUUCAAUGGACACAUCUCUUCCACCGGUGAUCCUUCCGCUGCAUCUCCAUAAACCCGUGCAUCUCCAGGGGACUCUGCAUUUUAACUUGAUGAGGUUUAGUAAGUUUUAUUGCAUGUCUGAGCCACAUUUGAUUUGUUUACAAAUAGUUAUCAGCACAUACUGACCCAUUUUCUAGGCCUGCCUCUCUCAUGGGUAUAGAGAAGGCAAAGUAUUGGAAAGGUGUAUAUGCAAACGCUCUUCACAAAUGGAUUUGAGACUGGGGGAAAAAUUGACUCAAGGGUCUGCCGAUGUGGGUUUCAGUUUUGAUGUCACUACUAUUUUUUUAUUUUUACUUUUUUAUUUUUAUUUUUUUUGAGAUGGAGUCUCACUUGUUGCCCAGGCUGGAGUGCAGUGGUGCAAUCUCAGCUCACUGCAACCUCCUCUUCCCAGGUUCAAGCAAUUCUCCUGCCUCAGCUUCCUGAGUAGUUGGGAUUACAGGCAUGCACCACCAUGUCCAGCUAACUUUUAUAUUUUUAGUAGAGGCUGGGUUUCACCUUGCUGGCCAGGCUGGUCUCGAACUCCUGACGACCUCAGGUGAUCUGCCUGCCUUGGCCUCCCAAAAUGCUGGGAUUACAGGUGUGAGCCACUGUGCCCGGCCGCUGCUGCUAUUUCAGGAAAGUCAAGCAAUCUUUGAAUCAUAGUUUCCUUGCAUUGGUAAAAUAAGGGAGUUGAAUUAAGUGGUUUUUAAGAUCCCUCACCAGUCCUAACUCUCUAGAAGAAUUCAGGGUGACUUUUUGGUGCAGGCAGUCCUCUGCUGCACAGGUCCACAUCUGUCUUCCUUCCACAGAGGGUGGGACACACAGCCUGGCAUAUGGGACACACUGUUUAGACCUCCCGAUUUCAGGUCUUAAUUACUCAGUGUUCACAUUUUCCUUCCACUGUUGGCUUUCUCUCCACAUAUGAUGAAACUCCAUGGUCAGCACUGGAAGAGGCGAGAGGCGUUUUCAUCUGGAUGUGGGUGAAGGGUGGACAAGCUUCUUCUCAGAGCCAGGACAAUGAGGACAGGCUGAGGGAUGUCAGACCAUAGCCUUGUCUCCCGCGGGCCAGGCAGAGCAUCCCAGGACACCCACCUUCACAGUGAGCACUGUCCUUCAUGAACAAUUCACCGAUUAACAACCUCGGGCCCCAGGAAGUUACACUGUGCCCAAGUUCUUCCGGAGGCCACAACAAUAAAUCCAAGCCACCGCUAAUGUUAUUUAUAAGCUGUGGGAUUAAAACAGAAAAAAAUCAAUUAAUUAAGAUUAGCCCUUUAUCGAGACUGUUAGCAUCUUACUUUCUCAGAACCGAGACCAUGUAAGUGACCAAUUCUUCUCUAAGAGAAUGAAAGAGUUUGCCAUUUUUACUGUAAUAAAAGGUUUUCACUCAGAUGGAUUCAAAAUGGUCUUAGUCUAAGAGAUAAAGCCUAAAAGAAUGCUUUAUUCUCUAAGAAAAACCACCUCUUAUAUCACAAUGGUCAAGCUAUGCCAGUAAGCUGAGUCUCAGUUUCUACGUUUAUAAAAUGAGAAAAAUACUACUUGCUCCACAGGGCCAUUGUGAAGAUGAAAUGGGAGAACACAAGGCAAAGACCUGAUGCAGGGCCUAGGACAUGGAAGUCCCCAGCAAAGAUUUCCUCCUUCCUUGGGACAAGGCAGUACUGAACAGUACAGAAAGGAGAAUGAAAAGUAGGAAGAAGAAAUUAAGAUCUUGAAGCAGUCACACAAAACAGAAUCCCAAAGUAAUAUAACCAAAAGGGAUUUAGGUGUGUUUUACAGAAAAUGUUUAAGAGGGAUGAUUGGAAAGUAUUAUGUAGAUAUAUUUGUGUAUGAUAUGCUUCUGCAAUAGAUACAGUCAGAAUUUGGAAUCAGAAUUUCUGGGCUCCAGGAAUUACUAUUUUAAUUUUUUCUACCAAAGUUUAGUUUCUUCUACUCCAGAAUUUCAUACAAAUCGAAUCAUAUGACCGGGCAUGGUAGCUCACACCUAAAAUCCUGGCACUUUGGGAGGCCAAGACAGGAGGGAUUGCUUGCACCUAGGAGUUCGAGACCAGCCUAGGCAACAUAAUGAGACCCUGUCUCUACAAAAACAUUAGCCUGGCAUGGUGGCAUGCAUUUGUACUCCCAGCUACUUGGGAAGCUGAAGCGGGAGGAUCACUUGAGCCCGAGAGGUUGAGGCUGCAGUGAGCUGUGAUUGCACCACUGCACUCCAGCCUGGGCAACAAGGCAAGACCCUGUAUAAAAAAAAAAGAGAGAGAGAGAGAGAGAAAUUAUAAAGCAUAAAGUGUGAAAUCUUUUGCAUAAGGCCUCUUUUACCAGCAUGGUGAUUUUGCAAUUCAUCCGUGUUAUUGCAUGUACCAGUGGGUGGCUCUUUCUAUUGCUGAGACGUAUUUCAUUGCAUGGAUAUACCACAAUUUGUUUAUCCCCAAUGGACAUUUGGGCUCUUUCCAGUAUUUGGAAAUUAUAGAUAAAUAGAUAAAACUGCUACUAAUAUUUUUGUUCAAGUCUUUUUGUGAACCAGACUUUUUUUACUUUAAUAGAUAAGUCAUGUUACCUUUAAAUUGUCAUCAUUUCCAUAUGUUUAAUAGCUGGUGAGGCUGUGCAUUUUUCCCUCUGAUGAUAAUCCCAUUUCUUGAGUGCUGGCUAUAGUGACAGGUGCUCUAAUUUGUCCUCAUGAGAAUCCUGCAAAGUGGAUGUAAUCAUAUCUAUAUUAGUCUGUUUUCACACUGCUGAUAAAGUCAUGCCUCAGACUGGGCAAUUUACAAAGGAAACAGGCUUAAUUGGACUUACAGUUCGACGUGACUGGGGAAGCCUCACAAUCAUGGCAGAAGGCAAGGAGGAGCAAGUCACAUCUCAACAUGGAUGGCAGCAGGCAAAGAGAGAGAGCUUGUGCAGGGGAACUGCUCUUUUUAAAGCCAUCAGAUCUCGUGAGACUUAUUCACUAUCACAAGAACAGCACGAGAAAGCCCCGCCCCCAUGAUUCAAUUACCACUGGGUCCCUCCCACAACACGUGGAAAUUGAAGAUGAGAUUUGGGUGGGGACACAGCCAAACCAUAUAAAUAUCCAUUUUCCAUAAGAAGGGAGAGGCACAGGCUCAUCAAGCAAGUUGGGUGUGUGGACUCUGAAUUAUUACUGAAGCUGGGCUCACUCUAGGCCACACUGUGGCUCCCUUGGGCUGUGACAAUGGCUCCUGAGCAAACCAGUUGAACUCAUCCUUUGCUCACUUCCUGGAAAGGCAUCUAGACCUGCACAUUAUACAUUUCUACCAAUUUUAAUCAUUUGCAGUUAGAUUGGUGAUAUAUUUUUCUCAAUUCUGUUGUUUUCCUUUAAUACAUCUUUUGCUAUAUUUUGUUGCAUAAACAUUUAUUUAUUCAGACCCAACUAUUUUGUCUGAUGACAAGCUCAAUUUUUCAAGAGCCAGAAAUUUAUCUUUGCUCCACUGCUAGAAUAAAUCUGCAGUUCUGCUUUCUUAUUUUUAAUGUUUUUUGUGUUUUGCUUUCUGACAUAUUGGAUAUGCAGCCACAUACCUAUGGGAAGUAUCUGCUCAAUAAAUCGCAAAAUGGAAA
rnacentral:lncRNA from 10 species